UACAGAGGUCUCAAGCGUUGUUCGGAUUCAUUGGGCGUAAAGGGCGCGUAGGCGGCAAGGCAAGUCGGGUGUGAAAGCUUGGGGCUUAACCCCGAAAGGGCACUCGAAACUGCCCUGCUAGAGGGCCGGAGAGGAGAUCGGAAUUCACGGUGUAGCAGUGAAAUGCGUAGAGCUCGUGAGGAAGACCGGUGGCGAAGGCGGAUCUCUGGGCAGUAACUGACGCUGAGGAGCGAAAGCGUGGGGAGCGAACAGG
rnacentral:rRNA from 1 species